rnacentral:lncRNA from 9 species
UUCCUAUCUGAGAGUUGAAGGGACAAGGAAAGAAAGAAUAUGGAAACGGUUCUAGAGGGUUGUAAGGGAGAAGCCUUUCUUCUUGCCUUUCAGCCUCAGCCCUCCCCAGAUGGGGGGCAGAGAAAAGCCAAUUCAGUGACGAGGAAAUGUUUAAUGAACUUCUUAGAAUACCCCACCAACUGCCUGAAUUAACCAAAUGUGCACCAAGCUGAUAAUAGAGAAACUACCGGCCUUAGCUUUGAGUGGCCUUGGUUCUCCCCACCCCCACCCCCAUGUAAAACAGUUUCUUUCUCCCUGUAACACAAUUUCUUUCCCCAGGACAUUUUCAGUGGAAGAUAAUGCACAGAAGGUGUACAAUACCACUGGUUGUCAAAGAAGCGAAGCCGGGGUCCCUUCUAGUGGGUGCAUCAGAAGUUAGAGAGAUGAAAAUCCAAAAAAUCCUGUAAGUUUAAAAAUCUCGACUCUCUUUCUUGUCAGUGCCUGUGUGUGUACUCUUUCCACGUCAGCAGCAGCAGAGUCUCCCACAAAUAGGCUGACAUGAAUGUGUGUCAAGAACUUGGGCUUUGUGGUUCAGACAGCCCAGCAAAAUUCAAUGGAAAUUGUUUACAUUUCAAGUGCAUGAAAACAUGUGUGGAG